rnacentral:lncRNA from 1 species
GAUUUUGCAACGGUUGCCUGCCUAACAGCUCUUUCUGCUAGGGGAAAUGGUUGAAGUGACCUUUCCUGCACAGCAGGAAAGAUUGCUCCUUUUUACCCAGAGGUCUGUGAUGAUAGGUCUGCACAAGCAACCUAGCUUGUGCAGCCUCUGAGACCAGCUUCUUUUCCUAUUCCUUCAACACUCCCCCUCAAGGUGGGUUCGAGUAAGUUUAUAGAACCCAUCUUGCGGAGGAUUGUAUGAUGAUUCUGCUUAUCAAGAGCUUUUGUGAAUAUGUUUGCCAGCUGGUCUUGACUUUUGAUGUAGGGAGUCUCAAUCUCUCCCUUUUGAACCUUCUCCCUAAUGAAGUGACAAUCAACUUCAAUGUGCUUGGUUCGUUCGUGAAACACGGGAUUUGAUGCGAUGUGUCGAGCAGCUUGAUUAUCGCAAUGCAUUUGCAUUGGUCCUUUACUUGCAACUUUCAUGUCUUUGAGGACUUGUUUGAUCCAAAUGAGUUCGCUUGCGGUGGAAGCCAUUGCACGGUAUUCAGCUUCGGCGCUUGAUCUGGCCACCACACUUUGUUUUUUACUUUUCCAUGUUACCAAGUUUUUUCCUACAAAGACACAGUAACCAGUGGUUGAUUUUCUGUCACAACUUCCAGCCCAGUCUGCAUCAGAAAAACCAACUAUGUUAGUAGUAUUGUUCUUUUUCAUCCAGAUUCCUUGUCCGGGAGUUCCCUUGAGAUAUCUGAGGAUUCGAUCUAUAGCUUCUAGAUGACUGGUGCGAGGGGCAUGCAUGAACUGGCUUACUGCACUAACUGCAAAUGAAAUGUCAGGUCUAGUGACAGUAAGAUAAAUCAGUUUUCCUACCAAGCGCUGAUAGUGCCCUAUGUUAGUUAGGAGGUCUCCAUCUUCUAAGUUGAGCUUAACUUUGGUUUCAAUAGGGGUGAAGGCUGGUUUGGCACCUAUUUUUCCAGUUUCUUUCAAAAGGUCGAGGGUUUAACCCCUUGUUGGAUUUUGCCAUUUCUAUGCCUAGAAAGUAUGAUAAUUGAUCAAGAUCUUUGAUAUUGAAUUCUCGUUUCAGACUUUGUUUGACAUCCUCUAUACUUUGAUCAUCAUUUCCUGUUAUUAUAAUAUCAUCAACAUAUACUAAGACAACAAUGGUGAGAUUAAGAGUGUUUUUGACGAACAUAGAUGAGUCAUUCACAUUUGCUGAAAUUAAUGCUUAAUAAAAAACGACUGAGUUUAGCAUACCAUGCCUUCGGAGACUGGUUUAGGCCAUAGAUAGCCUUCUUUAGCUUACAUACCAUGGAUGUGUCUGAGGCUGACUUAUGACCAGGAGGUAGUUUCAUGUAAACUUCUUCUUCUAAAUUACCUUGUAGGAAUGCGUUCUUGACAUCCAUUUGAAAUAGGCUCCAGCCCUGAUUAAUUGCUAUUGAGAGGAGGAUUCUGACUGUAUUCAUCUUGGCCACUGGAGCAAAUGUCUCUUGAUAGUCAACUCCAUAAGUUUGAUUGAAGCCUCGGGCUACAAGUCUGGCCUUGUAUCUCUCAAUAGUUCCAUUACUGUUAUACUUGAUCUUGUAUAUUCAUUUGCAUCCCACAGGUUUUUUUAUCUUUUGGGAGACGGACAAUACUCCAGGUGUCAUUUUUCUCUAAGGCAUGAAGUUCUUCUUCCAUAGCCUUACACCAUUUAGGGUCGGUGUUGGCUUCGUAGAAACUUGUGGGUUCAGCGUGUUUUGAGAUCUGACAAAGAUAGUUGCGAUAUUGGUUAGAUAAGACAUUGUAAGAAAUGAACUUUUGGAUUGGAUAUGUUACCGAAUGAGACACGUAGUCUCUAAAUUUUACAGGAGGUCUGGAUAGGCGAGUUGAUCUUCUCAAGGCAAUUUCUUCUUCGUGAGGCUGCAUUUCUCCCCCUGAAGGAAGCGGCCUUGAGACAGUCGGAGACUCCCCCUGAGGCGGAUAGCCUUGUUCAGAGCUGCUAAGAGAGAAGUCAAAGUUAAGCGGAAAUAAAGGCUGACACGGAGGAGAGGGGAAGGGAACAGUGGUGGAGGGUGAGUAGUAGGGUUCGGUUUCCACAAAGGUGACAUCACGAGAAACAUAGGUUUUGUGGUUGAAAGGAUCAUAGCAUUUGUACCCUUUUUGGGUGGAGGAAUAGCCUAAAAAGAUGGUCUUGACUGAGCUUUUGUCGAGUUUAUGUGAGCGUUUGAUAUGAACAUAACAAACACAUCCAAAAACUCGGAGGUGACCAAGAUCUAUUUUUCGAUUUUUUAGAACUUCUAGAGGGCUGAGAUUUUUUAAGGUGGCAGUAGGGAGGCGAUUUAUGAGGUAGGCUGCAGUUAACAGGGCAUCCGACCAAAAAUUAGAAGGAGCAUAAUGCUGAAAAAGAAGAGUGCGAGACAUUGAGAAGAUGUCGAUUUUUGCAUUCAGACACUCCAUUUUGCUCGGGGGUAUUAACACAAGUGGUUUGAUGUAUGAUACCAUGAUUUUUAAAGAAAGCAGAAAAAUUGUGAUUUACGUACUCCGUACCAUUAUCGGAGCGAAAUUUUUUUAAUUUUGCAUCAUAUUGAUUUUUUAUGAAAUGAAAUAAAUCUUGAAAACGAGAAAAAACUUCAUUUUUUCCUUUUAAUAAAUAUAUCCAGGUGGUGCGAGAGUAAUCGUCAAUAAAUGUGAUAAAAUAACGAAAAUGAUUAUAGGCAGUAACGGGAGCGGGUCCCCAAACAUCAGAAUGAAUUAAAUCAAAAGCGUUUUCAAACACAGUAGAUGACAAGGAAAAAGGGAGCCGCGUAUGUUUUGAAAAUUUACACACAUCACAAUUGCUAGAAUUUAAUUUGGAACAAAAUAAUUUAUUUAAAAUAAUAUCAGAAGGAUGCCCAAGUCUUUGGUGCAUAAGCAUAUCUUGGGACGAAUUGGCGGACACAAAACAGGCCUUGGAAGGGUUAUGCAGAUAAUAAAGACCAUUAUGUAAUUGUCCUUCACCAAUCGUCUUCCCGGAAAUUUGAUCCUGAAACAUGACCGAAGAUGGUAAGAAAAUAAUAUUACAAUUUAAAUCGCGAGUAAUUUUGCCUACAGAUAAUAGAUUAGAUUUAAAAUCGGGCAAUAAUAAAAUAUCAUGUAUAUUUGACUGAAGUAAAUUUGUAGUGCCAUAUCCUUGAAUUUUGACUUUGUUUCCAUUAGCAACUGUCACAUGAUGAGAAUCAUUAAUAGAGUGAAUUUUUUGUAAUUAGGUGGGAUCCCAAGUCAUGUGAUCACUGGCUCCAGAAUCAAUAAUCCAAGUAUUAUGGCAUUUAUGAGAUAAAUUUAAUAGUGGUUGGACCGAACCUGACCCAUCGAUGGGUUUGAACCGAACCGGCUGGGCUGCUGGACCAAGGCCUGGAGUUGGGCUGCUGGACCAAGGCCUGGAGUUGGGCCAAUAUGUCUGCCAUUUGGGCCUGAGAAGGCUGAUGGGCCGAGUUAGGAGACUGGGCCGAGUAGGCUGGGUCGGGUUAGGCUGGCUGGGUCGGCUGGGCCGAGUGGGCCGCAGUUUGUUGGGCCUGAGAAGCCCACAAAGACUGUUGGGCCGAUGACUGAAAUGGGCCGAAGUAUGGAAGGGCCUGGCCUGUCGGGUCGGGUUUGAUUAAAGAUACCUGACCCGGCAUAUAUCCCUAACCCUAUAUCCCUUUCCCCCAUUCUCUCUCUUUUCCAAUUUUCCUCUCUCCUGCCGCCGCCCCCUCUCCGUUCUCCUCGUCCCCCUCUUCGCACAGCGCCGCCGUCCCACGCUCGUGAAGGCCGCAAGUGCGGGUGGAUGUGCCAACACGCCUCGCGGGUGUGACCCUGCCGUUGGCAGUGGUCACAGCGCGCGCUGCUUGGCCCUCCGCGCGGACGAGCGCCUUCGCAUCGUGCGUUGUUGGCGUGGUUGUCUGUGUGUUGCGGGGGGGAGGAGCUGCUCAUGGUGUUCCUCCGCGUUUCUUCGCGCUGAACACUGGCGAUGACUUCGUCGAUUCGGGGAAGCUCGGUUGUGAGGAGAAUCUGCGAUCUCAAGCUUUCAUAGCUUGGAUCUAGUCCUCCAAGGUAAGUAUAUACCAAAUCUUGUUCGUUCCUUUUUUGAAUUUCUUGUGGGUCGAUUGAAGGCGGAAUGUAGUUCUGCAACUCUUCCCAUUGAGUGAGAAUUUCGGUUGCAUAUUGUGAUGAAUUUUUGGUACCCUGCGUGAUUUGAGCUAACUCAUGUUUGAGUCUGAAAAUGUGAGCAAAGUUGUGUUGUUGGCCGUAAAGGCUUUGCAUUUUUUCUCAAAUUGUUUUUGAUGAUUCCAUCAGGAUGCAGAAACGGGAUAUUUGGGGCUCCAUAGUAUUUGUGAGCCAAGACAUGACCAAAUGGUCAGAUGUCUGCCAUUCCUCUAUUCUGUCAAUUUCUUUCUCGGUUGGGGCUUCCGGCCUUUCUGGUUUUGGCCGUUGUUUUGUUCCCGUAAUGAAUCCCAACCUUUUUCUGCCACUGAGGGCAAUAUACACAGUUUUGGACCAUUCGAAAUAGUUGGAGUUGCCUUUGAGAAUGAUAUUGGUUAAUUUUUCAUUUUGAGACAUGGCUGGGAUUUUUGUUUUGAAAAAAAAUGGUAGAUGAUGGUUACUGGUGAAAACCAGGCUCUGAUACCAUGUGAAAAGAGCAAUGAAGAUUGUGAUAUAUUGAAAACUAAGAAUUCUGAGUUUCUUUACAUGAAUAUGUUGGUAUAUAUACAGAGAUGUUGUAUUGACAAGGAUUUUGCAACGGUUGCCUGCCUAACAGCUCUUUCUGCUAGGGGAAAUGGUUGAAGUGACCUUUCCUGCACAGCAGGAAAUGUUGCUCCUUUUUACCCAGAGGUCUGUGAUGAUAGGUAUGCACAAGCAACCUAGCUUGUGCAGCCUCUGAGACCAGCUUCUUUUCCUAUUCCUUCAACAACAUACAUAUAGUUAACAAUCUUAUUGUAAAAUUCACUUUUAUAAUACAAUAGAAAGAAUUACUUUCCUGCAAAAUGUUUUGAUUUAGCUCGACAAUUGUUCGACCCUUAACUACAAUCUUAGUAGUUGAGGAACCCAAAGAAAUAUACGUAGCUGUUAGCUAUUGAUUUGAACAAGAAAUCAUGAUAUGAACUGAAGAGCAUAAUAUUCUAUUG